GAGCUUGUAGGCGGUUUGUCGCGUCUGCUGUGAAAGACCGGGGCUUAACUCCGGUUCUGCAGUGGGUACGGGCAAGCUAGAGUAUGGUAGGGGAGACUGGAAUUCCUGGUGUAGCGGUGAAAUGCGCAGAUAUCAGGAGGAGCACCGAUGGCGAAGGCAGGUCUCUGGGCCAUUACUGACGCUGAGAAGCGAAAGCAUGGGGAGCGAACAGGAUUAGAUACCCUGGUAGUCCAUGCCGUAAACGUUGGGCGCUAGGUGUGGGACUCAUUCCACGAGUUCCGUGCCGCAGCUAACGCAUUAAGCGCCCCGCCUGGGGAGUACGGCCGCAAGGCUAAAACUCAAAGGAAUUGACGGGGGCCCGCACAAGCGGCGGAGCAUGCGGAUUAAUUCGAUGCAACGCGAAGAACCUUACCAAGGCUUGACAUACACCGGAAUGUGCCAGAGAUGGUGCAGCCUUUUGGCUGGUGUACAGGUGGUGCAUGGUUGUCGUCAGCUCGUGUCGUGAGAUGUUGGGUUAAGUCCCGCAACGAGCGCAACCCUCGUUCCAUGUUGCCAGCACGUGAUGGUGGGGACUCAUGGGAGACUGCCGGGGUCAACUCGGAGGAAGGUGGGGAUGACGUCAAAUCAUCAUGCCCCUUAUGUCUUGGGCUUCACGCAUGCUACAAUGGCCGGUACAGAGGGCAGCGAUACCGUGAGGUGGAGCGA
rnacentral:rRNA from 1 species